CUAUACCUCAAGCCCGGCUUGUAUGUUGGGCCCACUGUCUUGUUAGACAGUAGCCCCAAAGGCAGAGGCAGGGUCGUAGUCCGGUCUUUUCAAUGCGUAUGGGGCAUUGUCAUCCGCUUGAAGGCUGGCCGACCCUUUAUGCCUAUCGUGGAUUUUAUCCACCAUCAAUUUUUCCUGA
rnacentral:misc_RNA from 1 species